rnacentral:rRNA from 1 species
GAUGAACGCUGGCGGCGUGCCUAAUACAUGCAAGUCGAGCGAACAGACGAGGAGCUUGCUCCUCUGACGUUAGCGGCGGACGGGUGAGUAACACGUGGAUAACCUACCUAUAAGACUGGGAUAACUUCGGGAAACCGGAGCUAAUACCGGAUAAUAUAUUGAACCGCAUGGUUCAAUAGUGAAAGACGGUUUUGCUGUCACUUAUAGAUGGAUCCGCGCCGCAUUAGCUAGUUGGUAAGGUAACGGCUUACCAAGGCAACGAUGCGUAGCCGACCUGAGAGGGUGAUCGGCCACACUGGAACUGAGACACGGUCCAGACUCCGACGGGAGGCAGAAGUAGGGAAUCUUCCGCAAUGGGCGAAAGCCUGACGGAGCAACGCCGCGUGAGUGAUGAGGGUCUUCGGAUCGUAAAACUCUGUUAUUAGGGAAGAACAAAUGUGUAAGUAACUAUGCACGUCUUGACGGUACCUAAUCAGAAAGCCACGGCUAACUACGU